rnacentral:misc_RNA from 1 species
AACCAUAGAAACCUGCGGAGUACCUGCGGAAGGAUCAUUACCGAGUGCGGGUCCUCGUGGCCCAACCUCUCACCCGUGACUAUUGUACCUUGUUGCUUCGGCGGGCCCGCCAGCCCUGCUGGCCGCCGGGGGGCGUCUCGCCCCCGGGCCCGUGCCCGCCGGAGACCCCAACAUGAACCCUGUUCUGAAAGCUUGCAGUCUGAGUGUGAUUCUUUGCAAUCAGUUAAAACUUUCAACAAU